rnacentral:rRNA from 1 species
AUCGAUGUGCAUGGAGUUAUUUAAAUAUUUAAAUUUAUUUAGAUCUUGGAAGCUAAGCAGGGUUGGGCCUGGUUAGUACUUGGAUGGGAGACCACCUAGGAAGACUAGGUGCUAUAGGCG